GUAGUUAGCCGGGGCUUCCUCCUUGGCUACCGUCACUUCCUUCGUCACCAAGGACAGAGGUUUACAACCCGAAAGCCUUCUUCCCUCACGCGGCGUUGCUGGGUCAGGCUUGCGCCCAUUGCCCAAUAUUCCCCACUGCUGCCUCCCGUAGGAGUCUGGACCGUGUCUCAGUUCCAGUGUGGCCGAUCAGCCUCUCAGCUCGGCUACCCAUCGCUGACUUGGUGGGCCGUUACCCCGCCAACUAUCUAAUGGGACGCGAACCCCUCCUUCUGCGGAUUGCUCCUUUGACCUCUGAACCAUGCGGCUCUGUGGUCUUAUGCGGUAUUAGCACUUGUUUCCAGGUGUUAUCCCCCUCAAAAGGGCAGGUUGUUCACGCGUUACUCACCCGUUCGCCACUAACUACAAAUCCGAAAACCUGUAGUCCGUUCGACUUGCAUGUGUUAGGCACGCCGCCAGCGUUCGUCCUGAGCCAGGAUCAAACUACUGA
rnacentral:rRNA from 1 species